GAUGAACGCUGGCGGCGUGCUUAACACAUGCAAGUCGAACGGGAAACCUUUUAUUGAAGCUUCGGCAGAUUUAGCUGGUUUCUAGUGGCGGACGGGUGAGUAACGCGUGGGUAACCUGCCUUAUACAGGGGGAUAACAACCAGAAAUGGUUGCUAAUACCGCAUAAGCGCACAGGACCGCAUGGUCCGGUGUGAAAAACUCCGGUGGUAUAAGAUGGACCCGCGUUGGAUUAGCUAGUUGGCAGGGUAACGGCCUACCAAGGCGACGAUCCAUAGCCGGCCUGGGAGGGUGAACGGCCACAUUGGGACUGAGACACGGACCAGACUCCUACGGGAGGAAGCAGUGGGGAAUAUUGCACAAUGGGGGAAACCCUGAUGCAGCGACGCCGCGUGAAGGAAGAAGUAUCUCGGUAUGUAAACUUCUAUCAGCAGGGAAGAUAGUGACGGUACCUGACUAAGAAGCCCCGGCUAACUACGUG
rnacentral:rRNA from 1 species